GGCCGCGUGGUCUAGUGGUAUGAUUCUCGCUUCGGGUGCGGAGGGUCCCGGGUUCGAUUCCCCGGGUGCGGGCC
rnacentral:tRNA from 1 species